rnacentral:tRNA from 1 species
GGGUGUGUAGCUCAGGGGCAGAGCAUUUGACUGCAGAUCAAGAGGUCCCCGGCUCAAAUCCACGUACCCCCU